AUCAGAGUAACUAUUUCGCGUUAAGUGCUUUACCAUGGGAAGUCGGGUAAUGACGAACACUAUCGUGGCGGUGAAAUAGUGCGUCCGCUGAA
rnacentral:ncRNA from 2 species